AAAAAUGAUUUACAUCUUCGGCCUCUGCGAAUAAGUAUAUGGCCAAUUAGUCAAGAAAAGAUAAAUAAAAAUACUCGAGGCUAUGGGACAAAUCCUCAUCUCCCAACCGAUGAUAUAUCAAGCUGAAAUACCGAAAGAAAACACGUAGAAUCUAUAACGAAUGAUGCACCUAUAUGCUAUGCCUGUAUUCAUGUUUCUGCAGGUAAUUUUUGUUUGUUAAAUUCUAUUUUUGUUCCUGAAGAAAUCAUGUGUUCUGAACUUCUGAUAGGUUGCUGUUGCGAAGGUGGAGCCUGAUCUCUAAUACAGCAUGACACUUUCUACCUUAUUGCAUCUCAUGGAUUAAUUCUCACAGUGUUGGAAAGAAGGGGUUUUCAUUUUCAUUAUUCAGUUUUAUUUGCCCUGUCUUUAAUCUAUUUUGCUUAUCUAGUUGUGCUAUUUGAAAAGUAUAAAGGUUGUUUGGAUGUUUACUUAUCAGUUGGUGGUUACAGAAUAGUAUAUUCAGUUUUUGAGUCUGUUAGUCUCAUAAUUGUCUAUUUAUACAGGUAAAAUUUGCUACUUAGAAGACAUUGAUGAUGUUAAUUUUUUAGAUUAUUCUUUAGAAACAACAUUUAUAUUUAUUACUCUAUAUUUGUGUGCACAAGGCCUAACUGUUUUAUAUGUAUAAAGACUGAAGAUAAUAUGGAGUUUGAUAUGAUUGGUGUUGAUGCAUCGAUAACUAAUGCCUUAUGAAGAAUCCUCGUACCAGAGGUAUGCGCAUGUUGCCAUCUGUACCAUACUACCAUCUUGAAAACUGUUUGUUGCGUUCUAAUGAGUCAUGUAUUUGGUGGUUCCAUUCCAAUACAUGUACUUCAUUAUUUUAAAUUACAAUGUUCCUACAACGGAAAAUUGAGAAAGUCCUCAUGGUUGACAACACAUCAGUUACACCAGAUGAAGUUAUUCUACACAGGCUUGGUUUGAUUCCACUGGAUGCAAAUGGAUCCUUUUUAUUAUAUCUCAGGUCAAUAACUUAAAAUUUUCUAAUUCCACAUUCAUAUAUUUGAUUGCUAUGUAUGAAUACUUGUGUAUGAAUAAUAGCUGUAUUAUUCUUUCGUUGGGUUCUGUAGAGAACGAUGCCUCAUUAUUGUGUACAAACUGCGUGUUUCAUGUUAGAAAGGCCCCCAGCUUACAGUUAUCUUCGCUGUCCUGCAACCUAACCCUUUCACAGUUUCCAAUCAUCUUAUUUCUAAGUACGAAUUUCCUCCCUUCCAAUUUGAAUUGUGCAAAACUGCAAAAGUGAUUUAUUUCUAAAUAUUCUUCUCCAGGUUAUUCUUUGGAGUCAUUUUUAUUCACUGCUUUUUAACUUUUAAGACUAAAUGCCAUGUUUUUCUCAUUUUUACUAAAUAAGCAUCAAGUUUACAAAUUUAUCUUGAAAUUGUGGACCUUAUUUUUAUGGGAGACAAUUUGCACCUGCCAGCUGCAACUGGAUAGAUUAAACAACCUGAUUUGAUGCUGUUAGUGACCUUCAAACCACCAUCUCCUUUAAGCGAGGAUGAUCCAAUUAUCUGUUUGAAACAUCACAUUCUGUGCUACGAGACUUACAUAAGAAGAAAACUGUGUUAUGUUUCACAAAUUGUGGAUCCUUAGUCUUUAGAUAUGCGGUUAAUGGGUAAAUCCCCACAUUGACGACAUUUCAUAUUAUUAUCUGAAUAUACAGCAUAAAUCAGCUAAGGCACCAACCUUUUCUUCCAUCUUAAAAAAUUCUUAAUAAAAGCCAAAACUAUUUGGAAUCAUUUAAAAAUAUUUUGAUGCCACAUCAAUCAGAUUUACUCUGUUCAGAAUAAUUUACAAAGAAAAAAGUGAGGGUAAAUCCUUGGCAGCAAAGCAUGUGCCUAAUGCUACUAUGUACCAAUAUAAUAUUUUGUGUACCAAAAACUCAAACUAUCUAAACAAAUUUCUUAACUGAUUUUCUGAUACCAUCAUCAUUCAUGCACGCUGAAUCAAACAGUGGAUCCUUAGUUAUUGGUACUUCAGCUUAUUCAUGCCAAUUCUGUUAUCAUUGUUCUACUUGGAAAGCUUUGAUGGCUAGACUUCUUGUUAUCUCUUCUUUUUUUUUUGCGAAGUUGUUCUCUUAUGCUAAUCAAUCAUGUAAGAAAUUAAAUUGCUAAAACCUAAGACUUAUAUCAAUGAUAAAUUAAGUAUUCUAUUCUUUGUGCCCUUAUCGUUAUUAUAAUCCUGUCAUAUUUCCUGUAAGGUUGACUGAUAUUUUCUACUGAGGUGUGGUUAGCAGAAAAUAGCCAAUUAAAUAUGUCAUCUCCUGCUCAAUCUGGGAACAAGCAAAAGACCUACACUUCCUUCGGCCAAAGCAAGAAGGAUAUCUCAAAAAGGAUGGUGUGAAAUUUAACGAUAUAACUAUUAUGAGGUUUGGACCUGGCCAAGCUUACUAUUUGGAUUAUGGCGCUUUGCUGAGUCCACAUGGUAUAAUAAAGAUUUCAACGCAGUCAUUUCCUGGAAUCCUGAUGCUAUUGAACUUGAGGCAUAUGCUGUUAAGGGAAUGAGGAAAGUUCAUUCUAAGUGGUCUCCAGUUGCUACUACAGCCUGGUACAGAAUUUCCCUGAGAAUGAUAGGUGUUCAGAACUUCAGAUCUUCUUUUACAAAGCUCUGCUAAAAUAUCAAGGUGCUAACACUGGUGUGUGUUGCUGUGGCUUUAGCCUUCUGACUCAUGCUCCCUCCGUUUCGCAAUGGGAAAAGAUAUCAAUUGUUGCUAAGCCAAGAGGCACACACUCUUUGCAGGGAAUGCGUUAUUAUGGGACCAUCUGGGGAACAAGUAGGACUAAAGCGCGUUAGAGACCACUUCAUCUUUGAGAUAAGCUGAGUCCACUGGAGAAGUGCAAAGAGGAUGAUAUCUGAACGGUCAUGAGUCAUGGUAGACCAGCACAACUAGCGUCUCUGUAUCGCUCUGAAACAAAAGCUCGACACUGGAUUUGACCUCCCAGUUUACCAAUCACAUCAUUUGCAACUAUAGUUUUACCUCCUGGCUCCUGUACUUGGGCCUUCACUCCUGUUGCACAUCCAGGAAAUUUCGAGCCGCUGCAGCCUCCAUCACCGAAUGGCCAUAUAUGGGGCGAUAAUUGAUUUACCAGAAAGUUCAGCUUCGAGAACUCUCCGACUUGUGUUGCAUUGACUGUCUAAUACAUCAAAGAAAUGUAGAAUUGGGAGCAAUUUUGUGUUUUUAUGUUAGUAACAUGUAUAUGAAAUUCUCACGGAAAAUGACUUAAUUAGACAUACAAGUUUAUAUUAAUUAAUACCAGCAAUUAUAUAUAUUACUCCCUCCAUCUCAAAAUAGGUUCAUUUUUCACUCAUCUCACAUAUCGAUAAAAAAUAAAAGACUAGAAUAUCUCUAUUUUAUUAAAUCCUUAUACAAUUAUUCUUCAUUUUAUCUACUCCUAAUGCAUUUAACCUCUACUUUGAUUGCUGAAAAAUAAACUUAUUUUGGGAUAAAUGGAAGGAAUCAUUGGAUUUAAAAAUAAAUGCCUAAGAUUUAUCCAUGUCACCAAAAGUAAAAAUUUUACUAAUUUUUUACUCUUUGUUGAAUAUGUAAGUAAAUUUUUUUACUAUUGAUGACAUGAACAAAUCUUAAAAGUUUAUUUUUUAUCCAACGGUAGUUUUUUAAGUUUUCACUGUAUGUAUGAUUUUCACUACAUAUUUUCCCUAUAUAUACUCCCCCAUUCUCAAAUAAUUGAAGUUCAAAUUCCCUAUAUAUACUUCUGCUUGAAAAUAUGCUACUAUAUUAUUAAGGUGUGUCUGGAGUCAUAAAUUUGACUAUAUAAAUCAUAAUAUAAUCAAUAAAAGGUAAUUUAUAGUCAAAGUAAGAUGGGGAGAGUGAACGAAGUCAGAUAUUUGAGAAUGGAGAGAGGAGCCAAAUUAUUAAUUACUACCCCGUAAAUAAAUACUACAGUUAUCUUUUUAACUAUGAACCUGAUAAACUGUCUAGAAAGAUAUUUUUUUAGCAUGAAGGUAGUAAAUGAUAAGGCCUCAUUUUGGAACUGAGGAAACUUACGAGAAUUUUAAAGGAAAUGAACUAGUUCCUAUGGAAUUUUUUUUUAAGAAAACAUGUAUAUCAGAGGAGUCCUAAAUUAGUUACAGCAGUAACUAUUGUAUCCACUAUGUGAUUCCCCGCGCUUUACUGUAGGAAAUUACUAAGCAAUUCUCAAAAAAAAAAAA